rnacentral:rRNA from 1 species
AAUCAACGCUGGCGGCGUGCCUCAGACAUGCAAGUCGAACGAUUAAAGCUCUCUUCGGAGAGUGCAUAGAGUGGCGCACGGGUGAGUAACACGUAAGUAAUCUACCUUCGAGUGGGGAAUAACGUCCGGAAACGGGCGCUAAUACCGCAUAAUGCAGCGGCAUCGCAAGAUGACAGUUGUUAAAGGAGCAAUCCGCUUGAAGAGGAGCUUGCGGCAGAUUAGCUAGUUGGUAGGGUAAUGGCCUACCAAGGCUACGAUCUGUAACCGGUCUUAGAGGACGGUCGGUCACACUGACACUGAAUAACGGGUCAGACUCCUACGGGAGGCAGCAGUCGGGAAUUUUGGGCAAUGGGCGAAAGCCUGACCCAGCAACGCCGCGUGAAGGAUGAAGUAUUUCGGUAUGUAAACUUCGAAAGAAUAGGAAGAAUUAAUGACGGUACUAUUUAUAAGGUCCGGCUAACUACGUG